CCUACGGGCGGCAGCAGUGGGGAAUAUUGGACAAUGGGGGGGACCCUGAUCCAGCGACGCCGCGUGAGUGAAGAAGUAUUUCGGUAUGUAAAGCUCUCUCAGCAGGGAAGAAAGAAAUGACGGUACCUGACUAAGAAGCCCCGGCUAACUACGUGCCAGCAGCCGCGGUAAUACGUAGGGGGCAGGCGUUAUCCGGAUUGAUUGGGUGUAAAGGGGGCGUAGACGGGGAUGCAAGUCUGAAGUGAAAGGCGGGGGCCCAACCCCCGUAUUGCUUUUGAUACUGGAUGGCUGGAGUGCAGGAGAGGUAAGUGGAAUUCCUAGUGUAGCGGUGAAAUGCGUAGAUAUUAGGAGGAACACCAGUGGCGAAGGCGGCUUACUGGACUGUAACUGACGUUGAGGCUCGAAAGCGUGGGGAGCAAACAGGAUUAGAUACCCCAGUAGUC
rnacentral:rRNA from 1 species